UACGAAGGUGGCAAGCGUUGUUCGGAUUUACUGGGCGUACAGGGAGCGUAGGCGGUUGGAUAAGCCCUCCGUGAAAUCUCCAGGCUUAACCUGGAAAGUGCAGAGGGGACUGUUCAGCUAGAGGAUGGGAGAGGAGCGCGGGAAUUCCCGGUGUAGCGGUGAAAUGCGUAGAGAUCGGGAGGAAGGCCGGUGGCGAAGGCGGCGCUCUGGAACAUUUCUGACGCUGAGGCUCGAAAGCGUGGGGAGCAAACAGG
rnacentral:rRNA from 1 species